GAUGAACGCUGGCGGCGUGCCUAAUACAUGCAAGUCGAGCGAACAGACGAGGAGCUUGCUCCUCUGACGUUAGCGGCGGACGUGUGAGUAACACGUGGAUAACCUACCUAUAAGACUGGGAUAACUUAGGGAAACCGGAGCUAAUACCGGAUAAUAUAUUGAACCGCAUGGUUCAAUAGUGAAAGACGGUUUUGCUGUCACUUAUAGAUGGAUCCGCGCCGCAUUAGCUAGUUGGUAAGGUAACGGCUUACCAAGGCAACGAUGCGUAGCCGACCUGAGAGGGUGAUCGGCCACACUGGAACUGAGACACGGUCCAGACUCCUACGGGAGGCAGCAGUAGGGAAUCUUCCGCAAUGGGCGAAAGCCUGACGGAGCAACGCCGCGUGAGUGAUGAAGGUCUUCGGAUCGUAAAACUCUGUUAUUAGGGAAGAACAAAUGUGUAAGUAACUAUGCACGUCUUGACGGUACCUAAUCAGAAAGCCACGGCUAACUACGUG
rnacentral:rRNA from 1 species